AGCCUGAACGCUGGCGGCGUGGCUAAGACAUGCAAGUCGAACGGGUGUAGCAAUACACCAGUGGCGGACGGGUGAGUAAUGUAUCGCUAACGUGCCCUGGAAUCUGAGAUAGCCAACCGAAAGGUUGGGUAAUACCAGAUGAAAUAUCCUUAUCGCAUGGUGAGGAUCUCAAAGGAGCAAUCCGGUCUGGGAGCGGGCGAUAUCGUAUCAGCUAGUUGGUGAGGUAACGGCUCACCAAGGCGACGACGCGUAGCCGGGCUGAGAGGUCGGCCGGCCACAUUGGGACUGAGACACUGCCCAGACUCCUACGGGGGGCUGCAGUAACGAAUCUUCCGCAAUGCACGAAAGUGUGACGGAGCGACGCCGCGUGUAGGAUGAAGUCCUUCGGGAUGUAAACUACUGUCAGGGGAAAGAAGUUCUGAUCUACCCCAGAGGAAGAGACGGCUAACUCUGCGCCAGCAGCCGCGGU
rnacentral:rRNA from 1 species